rnacentral:rRNA from 1 species
GACGAACGCUGGCGGCGUGCUUAACACAUGCAAGUCGAACGGAAAGGCCCUGCUUGCAGGGUACUCGAGUGGCGAACGGGUGAGUAACACGUGGGUGAUCUGCCCUGCACUUCGGGAUAAGCUUGGGAAACUGGGUCUAAUACCGGAUAGGAACCAUCUUUAGUGUGGUGGUUGGAAAGUUUUUUCGGUGUAGGAUGAGCUCGCGGCCUAUCAGCUUGUUGGUGGGGUAAUGGCCUACCAAGGCGGCGACGGGUAGCCGGCCUGAGAGGGUGUACGGCCACAUUGGGACUGAGAUACGGCCCAGACUCCUACGGGAGGCAGCAGUGGGGAAUAUUGCACAAUGGGCGCAAGCCUGAUGCAGCGACGCCGCGUGGGGGAUGAAGGCCUUCGGGUUGUAAACUCCUUUCGCUAGGGACGAAGCUUUUUGUGACGGUACCUAGAUAAGAAGCACCGGCUAACUACGUG